rnacentral:rRNA from 1 species
GACGAACGCUGGCGGCGUGCUUAACACAUGCAAGUCGAACGGAAAGGCCCUGCUUUUGUGGGGUGCUCGAGUGGCGAACGGGUGAGUAACACGUGAGUAACCUGCCCUUGACUUUGGGAUAACUUCAGGAAACUGGGGCUAAUACCGGAUAGGAGCUCCUGCUGCAUGGUGGGGGUUGGAAAGUUUCGGCGGUUGGGGAUGGACUCGCGGCUUAUCAGCUUGUUGGUGGGGUAGUGGCUUACCAAGGCUUUGACGGGUAGCCGGCCUGAGAGGGUGACCGGCCACAUUGGGACUGAGAUACGGCCCAGACUCCUACGGUUGGCAGCAGUGGGGAAUAUUGCACAAUGGGCGGAAGCCUGAUGCAGCAACGCCGCGUGCGGGAUGACGGCCUUCGGGUUGUAAACCGCUUUCGCCUGUGACGAAGCGUGAGUGACGGUAAUGGGUAAAGAAGCACCGGCUAACUACGUG